rnacentral:rRNA from 1 species
UACGUAGGGUGCGAGCGUUGUCCGGAAUUAUUGGGCGUAAAGAGCUCGUAGGCGGUGUGUCGCGUCGGCCGUGAAAACCUGCAGCUUAACUGUGGGCUUGCGGUCGAUACGGGCAUCACUGGAGUUCGGCAGGGGAGACUGGAAUUCCUGGUGUAGCGGUGAAAUGCGCAGAUAUCAGGAGGAACACCGGUGGCGAAGGCGGGUCACUGGCUCGAUACUGACGCUGAGGUGCGAAAGCGUGGGGAGCAAACAGG